UCUGAUGGUCUUCCAUGUUCAACACUAAUGUUUACGUCUAUUAUUCCGAUUGGUGACUGUCAAUUCGACUCUAUUAAUUCCUGAAUGUCCGGUGACAUGUGCCGAGCUUCUCUGAUUUAUAGGUCAAAUUAUUUGAGGGAAAUGAUGCGGUAAAUACCAGUGUACAAAAAAAGGUUUCAUCGUUUUUCCAUUCCCCUCCGGUGCAUCGUACCACUUUCAAAUUUUGUCUUGGUACAGAGUGGAGCUCUCAAUUGGCAUGGCGAAGAGAACUUUUGCAAAUAUUUCUCCUCUUCCCAUCUUCGAUAUACGUAUAUACACACACGGACGAGCUAUCUUCACUGUGAAGACCCCCUGAGGGAAAUAAUUCGAAAGAGUUGGAAGUCGUUCGCGUGCUUAUCUCCCGGAUCUUGGCAGUCGCGAUGCUGCGCUAUAUUUCUGCUCGAGAGAAGUGUCUUAUUGAUCCGCAAAGAAGAAACAUAAAAACAAAAAAUGAAACAGAAAUAAUAAAAUACAAAGAGAAGCAAUGAAGAGGAAUGAAAAAAUGGAUCGUGUACGACGAUCUCAUUUAAUCGGGUACGCGCUGUUGCAGUACACAGCACAGAUAUCUAAGAUUCGGUCCAGAGACAGCAGACCAAUUGGUACUUGCUGUGGCACUUAUGCUGUCAAUCGUCGGGGAGUCUUUUUUUGAGACGCCAUUUUGCGACCGCUCCUCUGCUUUAUAAAAUCUACUGAAAAUAAAAAAUAAAACAUUUCCUUUUAUACUGCAUUACUUCACCAACUAAUACACAAUAUUUCAAAUAAUUUGAUCGAGCCGUUGUUUCAAAGAAAAUUCCCAAAAACUACCUCAUUUUUCAGCCUGUCACACCGAUAGUCCCCCUCAAUUUAUAAUAAAAUGAAAAAGCUUUCUGUUUCAA
rnacentral:lncRNA from 1 species